GAUGAAGAACGCAGCGAAAUGCGAUAACUAAUGUGAAUUGCAGAAUUCAGUGAAUCAUCGAGUCUUUGAACGCACAUUGCGCCCCCUGGUAUUCCGGGGGGCAUGCCUGUCCGAGCGUCAUUGCUGCCCUCAAGCACGGCUUGUGUGUUGGGCUCCGUCCCCCCGGGGACGGGCCCGAAAGGCAGCGGCGGCACCGAGUCCGGUCCUCGAGCGUAUGGGGCUUUGUCACCCGCUCUAUAGGCCCGGCCGGCGCCAGCCGACAACCCAUCAUCCUUUUCAGGUUGACCUCGGAUCAGGUAGGGAUACCCGCUGAACUUAAGCAUAUCAAUAAGCGGAGGA
rnacentral:misc_RNA from 1 species